rnacentral:misc_RNA from 1 species
UUAACUAUUUUAUAGUACUCAGACGACAUAUAAUACAGAGUUGUGGUCCUCUGGCGGGCACGAUCCAGCCGAAGCCGGUGCUUGCGCGGCCCGCCAAAGCAACAAAUUGAGAUAAUCAAGGGUGAGAAGGACCGGUUUCCCGGCUUCAUUUUUAAUGAUCCUUCCGCAGGUUCACCUACGGAAA